rnacentral:rRNA from 1 species
UACAGAGGUCCCAAGCGUUUGUUCGGAUUCAUUGGGCGUAAAGGGUGCGUAGGCGGUUUGGUGAGUCGGGUGUGAAAUCUCCACGCUCAACGUGGAGGGGCCACCCGAUACUGCCAUGACUAGAGUCCGGUAGGGGGAGUGUGGAAUUCCUGGUGUAGCGGUGAAAUGCGCAGAUAUCAGGAGGAACACCGGUGGCGAAGGCGGGUCUCUGGCCCGUUACCGAGCUCAGGGCGCGACAGCGUGGGGGA